UCUACAUCCUGUGAGUCAGACUAGGUUUGAUGAGACUGUUCGGGGGCGUGAUUGAAGGGGGUGAAGUAUGACACGUGCGAGUCAAACUGGUAGAAAUAUCGAAAUAUGCUACAAUACCUGUUUGCUGAUCACAGUUAUGAAUUUUGGGACAUCACUGUCAAUAUUAUCACAUGAAAAGAGUGACACAAACUUAUUUAGAGUCAAACUAUUGUAUUAAUAAUGAGACUGAACAUGUUCACAUUGAAUACAAAGAAGUUUGCUGGUUAUUUCAACAUUUACCACUUUACCUCUGUUUUUAGAUAUUAGAGAUUGUUGUUGUUGUUUUUCAGUUUUUGACUGCCUUAUCUAUUCCCUGAUGGAAUGUCGGAGGGAAGUGAUUAAAAGAUCAACUUUUUCUCAUCAAUCAUUACUUCCCCUUUUUUGUUUUCUCUUUCGUUCAAGUAUGCUUUGAUUCUGGUUUUGUAAUACAGAACAGACUACAUUUAUUUCUCUCUAAUACAUUUAAGCUCCGUUUGAAAAAAGGACUUAUCAAAGAUUAAUUAAUAAUUUUAGCAUUAUCUUUCUACAGUGAAAUUAAUUUCCUUUUAUUGGCAGAGUUAGCAGGAGCCUCUGACAUCCAGAUAGACAGUUGCCUUUUAAUGAGCAACCACACAGGAGAGUCAGUACUGUUGUAAUUAGAUAAUUAUUGAUCUGCCCUACGUAAUUUACAAGUUUAUUUUCCAUUAUCUCAGUGAAAGUGAAUUUGAAGAACUGCUCUUUUAAACCUCUAAUUUCACAUUUGGAGCUGCAGAUGUGAUUAACUCAAAACUGACUCUACAGAUAAAGUACACAGCAUGUUUAUUUGCAUAUUUACAUUCACAUGAAAGCUAUUUCAUUUUGGUUAUGAAACAAUUCAUAAGGACAUCCUGGGUACACAUUUGUUUGUUGGUGACAUCAUGGAAAAGAGGCUUGGUUACUAGUUAUUGUUUUUUAAAGAAUGCUUGCACGUGCAAGUGUAAACCAAAUUUAUGAAAUCCAGAACUACCAUGUGAAUUGUGUUUUAGAGAUGUUGCCUUUUUUCUUGACUGACCUGAGACUUCAGCGGGAGAUAACAUAUCCCUGCAUAGCUUACAGACACCCUCACCCUCAUGUGGCGUGUGAGUGCCCUGUCAUAACCCAAACACACUAUAAUGCCUGAGAUUCUGGUGUCGGCAUGCCUCCACACACACUACACAGGAGAACCAGCCUUGAAGACGUUGACUAUUAUCUUAUGUUUAAUGAGCUGCAGAGGGAAAGUGUGUCAGAUCAUGCUCUGAAAUAAUACUCUGUGUCUGACAUGCCCUCUGAUUUAUUAUUUGGAAUAUUAUAGAUAGUCAUAUAAAGUAGAAAUAAUAAAUCAUUAAUAGAAAAGUGACCUUCAGACUUUUACACUAUACUGCCUUAUUUGAUGUGAUUUAGUCCUAAAAACUAACAUUUGAUAUUCUUAUUUGAAUAGGUUAAUAGGGGGCAGGGAAACUUAAUAUUCACUGUGUUCACAUUUAGAGUGCCAAAAUAUUAUGCGAUAAAAAUCCUAACCAGGGCCGUAGCCAGGAUGUUAGAAUCCCCAGACAACACCACAAUACCAACGCACCUCCUGACAUCAAAAUAUUCUUAAUUUCCUAAUCAUUUUAGUGUUUCAUAAUUUUAAUAAUUACUAAAUGAGAUGGCCCUUUCCAGAAAACUUCCUAGGAAAUUAUUUGAUAUUAGUGGAAUUUAUAAGGAAAUGAUGAAGAAAUUAUGGACUCAUAAAAUAACGAACCAGACUUUAUUACCCAACAUGAAGGCUUGGACACAGCCCUCUCCACACUGCCAGGAAAACAACUGUGGUGGAUAAAUACUGAAUCCUUAAUUGUGUUGUUUGCCAUAUUGCUGCAACUAACAAUUAUUUUCCUUACAAAUGAAUCUGGUGAUAAUGUCCCUGA